rnacentral:rRNA from 1 species
UGGGGAAUAUUGGGCAAUGGGCGCAAGCCUGACCCAGCAACGCCGCGUGGGGGAAGAAUGUCUUCGGAUUGUAAACCUCUGUCCUUAGGGACGAAAAAAAUCACGGUACCUAAGGAGGAAGCUCCGGCUAACUACGUGCCAGCAGCCGCGGUAAUACGUAGGGAGCGAGCGUUGUCCGGAAGUAUUAGGCGUAAAGGGUGCGUAGGCGGUAAUACAAGUCAGAUGUGAAAUCCCCGGGCUUAACUCGGGAGUUGCAUUUGAAACUGUAUAGCUUGAGUGAAGAAGAGGUAAGUGGAAUUCCUAGUGUAGCGGUGGAAUGCGUAGAUAUUAGGAGGAACACCAGUGGCGAAGGCGACUUACUGGUCUUUUACUGACGCUGAGGCACGAAAGCGUGGGGAGCAAACA